rnacentral:lncRNA from 1 species
AAAGGACGAAGGUACUCGCUGAAUUUUUCUAUUGAACGUGGAAGAUACUGUAGGUGACGGCCAGAUAAUCUUUCUUAUCAUGCUUUUCCCUUGGUCUAUGUUGGUUUGAGUGUUCCACGACGUCAUGUUCCUGCAAAUGGCAAUCAAAUCAAACAAUAGGGGAUCAAAUAAUCCAAAACAUGUGUUACUCAGCCCAAGAACUCGAAAUAACCAACAAUAUAUUUAAGGGCCUUGGUGAAAUCAUGAUUGGAUGAUGACGCCAUAUAAAAUAAAUGUGCCUAAAUCUAACGCAACUAAUAAUUAAAACAAAUCUAUAUGCAAUGCGAUGCGAAAAACAAAAUAAAUAAAAGGUUUAGAAAUUGGGUUGCCUUACAAUAAGCGCUUAAUUUAGAGUCUUUAGCUAAACUUUGUUGUCCUAGCUACUCUACAUUAUCAAGUGGUAUGGUUGUUUUUUCAGUGGAGUAGUCACCUCCCCAAUAAGCUUUCAACCGUUGUCCAUUUACUUUGAAUCUCCUUUGUUGAUCUUGAGACACCACUUCCACAGCACCAUAUGGAAACACAGCUACUACUGUGAAUGGACCCGACCACCUGGACUUUAGCUUUCUCGGAAAAAGCUUAAGGCGUGAAUUGAACAUCAAUACUUGUUGACCAACCUCAAACUCCUUCUCCCUUAUAUGCCUAUCGUGCCAUUUCUUGGUUUUUUCCUUAUAAAUCUUUGCAUUCUCAUA